rnacentral:lncRNA from 10 species
GACCUCUUGGGGAAUAGAGUGGGCAGCGGUCAGUUAGAGCUUUGUAACACCUGUAGUUGUUCUAUGCUUUUAAACAGUAAAGUAUAUUGGCAUAUAAUUUCUAAUGUUAAAAUUACUUUUAAAAAAUUAUAUAUGGAAUAGCUAGGUGUGGUGGCUCAAACCUGUAGUCCCAGCUACUUGAGAGGCUGAGGCAAGAGGCUGAGGUGAGAGGCUGAGGCGAGAGGCUGAAGCGGGAGGCUGAGGUGAGAGGCUGAGGUGGGAGGCUGAGGCGAGAGGCUGAGGUGGGAGGAUCUCUGAAGUUUGCAUUCAGCUUGGGCAAUGUCGCAAGCCCUUGUUUUCUUGUUUUCUUUUUUUUUUUUUUUUUUUGAGAUAGAAUCUCGCUCUGUCACCCAGACUGGAGUGCAGUGGUGCAAUCUCGGCUCACUGGAACCUCUGCUUCCUGGGUUCAAGUGAUUCUCCUGCCUCAGCCUCCCCAGUAGCUGGGAUUACAGGUGCGCAACACCAUGCCUGGCUAAUUUUUGUAUUUUUAGUAGAGACAGGAUUUCGCCAUGUUGGCCAGGCUGGUCUUGAACUCCUGACCUCAAGUGAUCCACCCGCCUCAGCCUCCCAAAGUACUGGGUUUACAGGCAUGAGCCACAGCGCCCAGCCUGUAAAACCUUGUUUUCUUUAAAAAAAAAAUUAUUGAAUAUAGUUUUGGGAUUAUGUACUUAUUUUUCAUAAUAUAGUGAGGAGAGCUGUAAGGGAGUAGACGGAGUUCCCUAAGUCUCUAGUGGUGGACCAGACCCAACGUGAUGCAGAGGAGUGUUUGGGAGGCUUUCCUGAGGAAGCACCUUUUAGCUGAGUUACAGAUGAUGUGUGUCUGUUAGUCAACAGAGUUGAGGGAUUGGGUGUGGGAGGGGGAAGGGAUUUCCGGGCAGAGGAAACAGUGUGAGCAAAGGUCCUGAGGGGCACUACAGAU